rnacentral:rRNA from 1 species
ACAUACGGCCACAGUAUCUUGAAAACUGUCGAUCCCGUCCGAUCUCGGUCUAUAUAAGCAAGAUGACGGCAGAUUAGUAGUUGGGUCGGUGACGACCAGCGAACACCGGCUGCUGUAUGUU